AGCGCGCGCGCGGAGGUCCGUGUACACACGAGGUUAUAUACGCGCCGGGUACAGCGGACUUCAUUUUAAUACACGCCCGGAUUGUCCUGCGUACUCCCCCGAGUUAGUCAUUGCGGUUAUUUUGAAUUUUUUUUUUUUUGUUUUUUUAGAACACCACGUUACACAACUUAAACGCAGCCCUCGUUUCUCCGCACUCUACCUCCCCCCCCACGACACGUCGGCUGUUAUAAGUGUACCAGAAACGCGCGUUAUUUGGAUUA